UUUUAACUGUUGAUCUGAAUUAUAAAAAAUAUAUAUAAUAUAUAUUAAUUAAAAUCAACAAUUAAAACAAUUAGAAUACCGAUAUUUCUCGAUACACUUGAAAUUUUUCUUAUACAUUAUUGCUUAUGU